GCUGGCGGAUGCUUUACACAUGCAAGUCGAACGGCAGCACGGACUUCGGUCUGGUGGCGAGUGGCGAACGGUGAGUGAUAUAUCGGAACGUAUCCAAUAAUGGGGGAUAACUAAUCGAAAGGUUGGCUAAUACCGCAUACGCCCUACGGGGGAAAGCUAGGGAUCUUCGGACCUGGCGUUAAUGGAGCGGCCGAUAUCUGAUUAGCUAGUUGGUGGGGUAAAGGCCCACCAAGGCGACGAUCAGUAGCUGGUCUGAGAGGACGACCAGCCACACUGGAACUGAGACACGGUCCAGACUCCUACGGGAGGCAGCAGUGGGGAAUUUUGGACAAUGGGCGCAAGCCUGAUCCAGCCAUUCCGCGUGAGUGAAGAAGGCCUUCGGGUUGUAAAGCUCUUUCGCAAGGGAAGAAAACUUAGCCACUAACAUUGGUUGAGGUUGACGGUACCUUGAUAAGAAGCACCGGCUAACUACGUGCCAGCAGCCGCGGUAAUACGUAGGGUGCGAGCGUUAAUCGGAAUUACUGGGCGUAAAGCGUGCGCAGGCGGUUUUGUAAGUCAGAUGUGAAAUCCCCGAGCUCAACUUGGGAACUGCGUUUGAAACUACAAGACUAGAAUAUGUCAGAGGGGGGUAGAAUUCCACGUGUAGCAGUGAAAUGCGUAGAGAUGUGGAGGAAUACCAAUGGCGAAGGCAGCCCCCUGGGAUAAUAUUGACGCUCAUGCACGAAAGCGUGGGGAGCAAACAGGAUUAGAUACCCUGGUA
rnacentral:rRNA from 1 species